UACGAAGGGGGCUAGCGUUGCUCGGAAUGACUGGGCGUAAAGGGCGCGUAGGCGGUUCGUACAGUCAGACGUGAAAUUCCCGGGCUCAACCUGGGGGCUGCGUUUGAUACGUGCGGGCUUGAGUUCGGAAGAGGGUCGUGGAAUUCCCAGUGUAGAGGUGAAAUUCGUAGAUAUCAGGAGGAACACCGGUGGUGUAAACGGCUUUCUGGACCGUAACUGACGCUGAGGCACGAAAGCGUGGGUAGCAAACAGG
rnacentral:rRNA from 1 species